rnacentral:rRNA from 1 species
GAUGAACGCUGGCGGCGUGCCUAAUACAUGCAAGUCGAGCGAACAGACGAGGAGCUUGCUCCUCUGACGUUAGCGGCGGACGGGUGAGUAACACGUGGAUAACCUACCUAUAAGACUGGGAUAACUUCGGGAAACCGGAGCUAAUACCGGAUAAUAUAUUGAACCGCAUGGUUCAAUAGUGAAAGACGGUUUUGCUGUCACUUAUAGAUGGAUCCGCGCCGCAUUAGCUAGUUGGUAAGGUAACGGCUUACCAAGGCAACGAUGCGUAGCCGACCUGAGAGGGUGAUCGGCCACACUGGAACUGAGACACGGUCCAGACUCCUACGGGAGGCAGCAGUAGGGAAUCUUCCGCAAUGGGCGAAAGCCUGACGGAGCAACGCCGCGUGAGUGAUGAAGGUCCUCGGAUCGUAAAACUCUGUUAUUAGGGAAGAACAAAUGUGUAAGUAACUAUGCACGUCUUGACGGUACCUAAUCAGAAAGCCUCGGCUAACUACGU